rnacentral:rRNA from 1 species
CCUACGGGAGGCAGCAGUGGGGAAUAUUGGACAAUGGGGGGAACCCUGAUCCAGCGACGCCGCGUGAGUGAAGAAGUAUUUCGGUAUGUAAAGCUCUAUCAGCAGGGAAGAAAAUGACGGUACCUGACUAAGAAGCCCCGGCUAACUACGUGCCAGCAGCCGCGGUAAUACGUAGGGGGCAAGCGUUAUCCGGAUUUACUGGGUGUAAAGGGAGCGUAGACGGCAGCACAAGUCUGGAGUGAAAUGCCGGGGCUUAACCCCGGAACUGCUUUGGAAACUGUGCAGCUAGAGUGCAGGAGAGGUAAGUGGAAUUCCUAGUGUAGCGGUGAAGUGCGUAGAUAUUAGGAGGAACACCAGUGGCGAAGGCGGCUUACUGGACUGUAACUGACGUUGAGGCUCGAAAGCGUGGGGAGCAAACAGGAUUAGAUACCCGUGUAGUC